rnacentral:rRNA from 1 species
AGAGUUUGAUCAUGGCUCAGGAUGAACGCUGGCGGCGUGCCUAACACAUGCAAGUCGAACGGGUGUGGUAUCAGGGAAAAGGGGUUUACUUCUUUGACCAGAUAACACACUAGUGGCGGACGGGUGAGUAACGCGUGGAUAACCUGCCUUAUACAGGGGGAUAACAGGGAGAAAUUCUUGCUAAUACCCCAUAGGUAUGUCUGACGCAUGUUGGACAUAUUAAAGCUUUGGCGGUAUAAGAUGGGUCCGCGUCUGAUUAGCUAGUUGGUGGGGUAAAGGCCCACCAAGGCGACGAUCAGUAGCCGGCUUGAGAGAGUGGACGGCCACAUUGGGACUGAGACACGGCCCAAACUCCUACGGGAGGCAGCAGUGGGGAAUAUUGCACAAUGGGGGAAACCCUGAUGCAGCGACGCCGCGUGAAGGAAGAAGGUCUUCGGAUCGUAAACUUCUAUCAGCAGGGAAGAAGGAAGUGACAGUACCUGAGUAAGAAGCCCCGGCUAACUACGUGCCAGCAGCCGCGGUAAUACGUAGGGGGCGAGCGUUAUCCGGAAUUACUGGGUGUAAAGGGUGCGUAGGCGGUAUGGCAAGUCAGUUGUGAAACCCCCUGGCUCAACCAGGGGCUUGCAAUUGAAACUGUCAUACUAGAGUGCAGGAGAGGAAAGCGGAAUUCCUAGUGUAGCGGUGAAAUGCGUAGAUAUUAGGAAGAACACCAGUGGCGAAGGCGGCUUUCUGGACUGUAACAGACGCUGAGGCACGAAAGCGUGGGGAGCGAACAGGAUUAGAUACCCUGGUAGUCCACGCCGUAAACGAUGAGUGCUAGGUGUUGGGGUCUAAUUAGAUCUCGGUGCUGAAGUUAACGCAUUAAGCACUCCACCUGGGGAGUACGAUCGCAAGAUUGAAAC